GGGCAAUGGAGCAGAUACCAUUUGAAAAACGGGCGAGUUCGAAAAGCCAGAGGAGUAGAGGAAAU
rnacentral:ncRNA from 1 species